rnacentral:rRNA from 1 species
ACGAACGCUGGCGGCGUGCUUACACAUGCAAGUCACGGGGGCUCCGCAAGGAGCAACCGGCGAACGGGUGCGUAACACGUGAGCAACCUGCCGAUCUGUGGGGGAUAGCCGGGCUAACGCCCGGGUAAUACCGCAUACGGUCCCUGGGGGGAGUCCCCUGGGGAGGAAACCUCCGGGGCAGAUCGAGGGGCUCGCGGCCUAUCAGCUGGUUGGUGGGGUAAUGGCCCACCAAGGCGACGACGGGUAGCUGGUCUGAGAGGAUGGCCAGCCACAUUGGGACUGAGAGACGGCCCAGACUCCUACGGGAGGCAGCAGUGGGGAAUCUUGCGCAAUGGCCGAAAGGCUGACGCAGCGACGCCGCGUGUGGGAGGACGCCUUUCGGGGUGUAAACCACUGUUGCCCGGGACGAACAGCGCUUUUCGAGGCGUCUGACGGUACCGGGUGAGGAAGCACCGGCUAACUCCGUGC